AACGUAGGAGACAAACGUUAUCCGGAGUUACUGGGCGUAAAGGGCGUGUAGGUGGUUAUGUAAGUCUGGCGUGAAAUUUUUCGGCUUAACCGGGAAAGGUCGUCGGAUACUGCACAACUAGAGGACGGUAGAGGCGUGUGGAAUUCCGGGUGUAGUGGUGAAAUGCGUAGAGAUCCGGAGGAACACCAGUGGCGAAGGCGACACGCUGGGCCGUACCUGACACUGAUGCGCGACAGCAUGGGGAGCAAACAGG
rnacentral:rRNA from 1 species